CCAACGCCGGCGGCUCCUGCAGUCCCUCUGCUGUGAGGUGGAGGCGCGCGGCCUUUCCCGCCGCUUCUGGCCCGCGAGCCGUUCGUGGGCGGCUACUUUAAAGACGCGCUCGCGCCUGCGGAGCUGCCCCGCCGUUAAGCGAGAAGGAGUCACACGGCUGAACUGGUGGAGAAGAGGUGGUAUCGUGUGGAACGGCGUGCUAAGGCAGCCAGUGGAAAAGAAAGAAAAGGCAUCAUGUGGAACUGCAAGGCAAGAGUGAGCCAGAAGAGAUACUGACGGUAAGUACCUAAAGGGUGCUCAAGAAGUUGGGAGGGGACACAACCAGGACAGCUGAUCCAAGCUCACCAAAUGGAUAUCCCACGCUAUACAACAUCAUGCUCAGCGGAGACAAAGACAAAAAAU